rnacentral:tRNA from 1 species
AGUGAGGUGGCCGAGUAUAAGCAAUAGACUGUAGAUCUAUCCACGAAUUAAACUUCCCUCAUUA